rnacentral:snRNA from 3 species
GUGCUCGCUUCGGCAGCACAUAUACUAAAAUUGGAACAAUACAGGGAAGAUUAGCAUGGCCCCUAAGCAAGGAUGACACACAAAUUUGUGAAAUGUUCCAUAUUUUU